rnacentral:rRNA from 1 species
UACAGAGGCCUCGAGCGUUAGGCGGAAUCACUGGGCUUAAAGGGUGCGUAGGCGGGCUCGCGAGUCAGGGGUGAAAUCCCACGGCCCAACCGUGGAAGUGCCUCUGAUACCGCGGGCCUCGAGGGGGAUAGGGGCGUGCGGAACUUCCGGUGGAGCGGUGAAAUGCGUAGAUAUCGGAAGGAACACCGGUGGCGAAAGCGGCGCGCUGGAUCCCUACUGACGCUGAGGCACGAAAGCCAGGGGAGCAAACGGG